UUCCUCAGUAGCUCAGUGGUAGAGCGGUCGGCUGUUAACCGAUUGGUCGCAGGUUCGAAUCCUGCCUGGGGAGU
rnacentral:tRNA from 7 species